rnacentral:rRNA from 1 species
CCCUACGGGGUGCAGCAGGCUCCAAAUCGGAAUCGUGGCGGUCUUGAGCAGUGUCCAGAUAACAUUCAUGCCGAGCUGUUGCGCCUUAGUGUCACCGGGCGGUUCAAAGCCAGCCACCCGGAGGUGAGGAUUUCAUAACACGUUUUGGUUUCGGUUCAAGAGCAAGUUGGGGUUUUCUAUUCCCGUUGGGUUUUGCCGGUCCCUGGCGGUCCGACAAACAAAAGGCCGGUUGCCGGGCGAAUGAAGCCGCCGGUGGCGAGGUUGUAGAGCUGCUUGCGCGGAAGGUGUCGCGACCCUGAUGCCGCGCGGGUGGGAUUACUGCAAAAGGCAUUGCAAAAGGCAUUGCAAAAGGCAUUGCAAAAGGCAUUGGGCAAAAGGCAUUGGGCAAAAUGAAUUGGCGGGAGGGC